rnacentral:snRNA from 1 species
AGCCUUGCGCAGUGGCAGUGUCAUAGCCAAUGAGUUUUACCUGAGGUGCUACUGCUAAUUCAAAACUUUUUCCAAUACCCCACCAUAAUGACUUGAAAUAUAGUUGGCAUUGAUAAUUUUUGACAGUACAUAGACU